UAUACUUUUCUCAACCACUUUUGUUUUCUUUUCUUUAAAUCAAACAAAAUCAAAUUAAAUCAAAUUUAAGUCUGGUACCAAAUGCCAUGUUCCUGUAGGUACUGGAUUUGCUCCAAGAGACUAAUGACCUUGCCGGGGACUGUCUUUCUGGAAAUAUGUCUUGAAGCUUGAACGGUGAAGUCUCCCCCUUGGCAGUCGAUGAUCUGCGUUUAGAUACCGACUCUUCUACAUGGAUAGAA